rnacentral:rRNA from 1 species
AGUUAGUUGGUGAGGUAACGGCUCACCAAGACGACGACGGGUAGCCGGCCUGAGAGGGUGACCGGCCACACUGGGACUGAGACACGGCCCAGACUCCUACGGGAGGCAGCAGUGGGGAAUAUUGCACAAUGGGCGCAAGCCUGAUGCAGCAACGCCGCGUGAGGGACGACGGCCUUCGGGUUGUAAACCUCUUUUAGCAGGGAAGAAGCGAAAGUGACGGUACCUGCAGAAAAAGCACCGGCUAACUACGUGCCAGCAGCCGCGGUAAUACGUAGGGUGCAAGCGUUGUCCGGAAUUAUUGGGCGUAAAGAGCUCGUAGGCGGUUUGUCACGUCUGCUGUGAAAACGCGAGGCUCAACCUCGCGCCUGCAGUGGGUACGGGCAAACUAGAGUGCGGUAGGGGAGAUUGGAAUUCCUGGUGUAGCGGUGGAAUGCGCAGAUAUCAGGAGGAACACCAAUGGCGAAGGCAGAUCUCUGGGCCGUAACUGACGCUGAGGAGCGAAAGCGUGGGGAGCGAACAGGAUUAGAUACCCUGGUAGUCCACGCCGUAAACGUUGGGAACUAGGUGUAGGGACCAUUCCACGGUUUCUGUGUCGCAGCUAACGCAUUAAGUCCCCCGCCUGGGGAGUACGGUCGCAAGACUAAAACUCAAAGGAACUGACGGGGGCCCGCACAAGCGGCGGAGCAUGCGGAUUAAUUCGAUGCAACGCGAAGAACCUUACCUGGGUUUGACAUGCACGGAUGCCGUCCUGGAAACAGGAGCCGGCUGCCUCCGGGUGAAACGUGUACAGGUGCUGCAUGGCUGUCGUCAGCUCGUGCUGUGAAGUGUCGGGUUAAGUCCCUUAACGAGCGAAACCCUUGUCGCUAGUUGCCAGCGGGUCAUGCCGGGAACUCUAGCGAGACUGCCGGCGUUAAGCCGGAGGAAGGUGGGGACGACGUCAAGUCAUCAUGGCCUUUAUGCCCAGGGCGUCACACGUGCUACAAUGGGGUGUACAGAGCGACGCAAAGCCGCAAGGUAGAGCAAAUCGCAGAAAACACUCCUCAGUUCGGAUUGAGGUCUGCAACCCGACCUCAUGAAGCUGGAAUCGCUAGUAAUCGCGCAUCAGCCAUGGCGCGGUGAAUGAGUUCCUGAGCCUUGUACACACCGCCCGUCAAGUCAUGGGAGCUGGGAGUUCCCGAAGUCGCAGCAAUUCGGCUGUGCCGACGGAAAGCCCGGUGACUGGGACUAAGUCGUAACAAGGUAGCCGUAGGGGAACCUGCGGCUG